CCUACGGGUGGCAGCAGUGAGGAAUAUUGGUCAAUGGCCGGAAGGCUGAACCAGCCAUGCCGCGUGAAGGUCAGUGCCCUAUGGGCGUUAAACUUCUUUUGUGCGGGAGCAAUAAUGGUCACGUGUGGCCAGACGAGAGUACCGUACGAAUAAGCAUCGGCUAACUCCGUUGCAGCAGCCGCGGUAAUACGGGGGAUGCAAGCGGUAUCCGGAUUUAUUGGGUUUAAAGGGUGCGGAGGCUGUGAGGUAAGUCAGCGGUGAAAUGCUCCCGCUCAACGGGGUGAAGUGCCAUUGAUACUGGCUGGCUGGAAUGCGGAUGCCGUGGGAGGAAUGUGUGGUGUAGCGGUGAAAUGCAUAGAUAUCACACAGAACACCGAUUGCGAAGGCAUCUCACGAAUCCGCGAUUGACGCUGAUGCACGAAAGCGUGGGUAUCAAACAGGAUUAGAUACCCGUGUAGUC
rnacentral:rRNA from 1 species